rnacentral:lncRNA from 1 species
UUUUUUUUUUUUUUUUUUUUUUGCUUUUUAGGGGCACACCCGUGGCAGAUGGAAGUUCCCAGGCUAGGGGGCUAAUCUGGAGCUGCAGCUGCUGGCCUACACCACAGCCACAGCCAUAGCAAUGCCAGAAGCUUAACCCACUGAGCGAAGCCAGAGAUUGAACCCACCUCCUUACGGAUACUAGUCGAGUUCAUUACCGCUGAGCCACAGUGGGAACUCCAGUCCAUCAUUCUUGAUGGCAUGAAAAAAGAUUUCUCAGGAGUCACAGAAUGAGGAUGUUUUCCUAACAUUAUCGUCAAGAACUGGACAGACACCAACGUGCCUGAAGAGCAGUGUGGACACAGGGUGGAGGUGAUGGAGGUGUGGGGGCCUCACCAAUGAUGAGUGCUCUCCUGGGCCACGGCAGCUUCUCUGCUCUUCGCUGCUCUACGGUAAAUGAUAGGCAGUCUGGCUGGGGCUGCGAGAUGGACAGAUUCUGUAUGCAUGGCAGGCAAUCUGGCAGCUGAGGACCUUCAGAAAUUAAACUGUAAGAGGUUUAAACUGGUUUUUCUGACUCUGUGAUUUAGGAAGGUACUGGAUCUGGCAGUGAGAGGACGGAGAGGGUCAGGAUACCAGUCAGCUCCUGGCCAACUUGUGUAUGUCGCUGAGUUUAUGCUGGUGUGCGGGAAUGGGCUAAUGGGUAGCUUGGCUCCCACCAGAAAGUGCCACCAGCGUUGUGUGAACGGAUGGUGAGGGUUUGAUGGGAAAUAGCUCAUUCUCCCACGUGAUACAGUCAAACUCCACAGAGCUGACACUGAGACAGAGACUACAGGUCCAGUUGUCCCUUUGGCCUCAGCGCCUUCCCUGUGGUCACAGGCCGCUUGACUGGGUUAACACUGACUUAACGUUAAACUGGUAUUUGUGGGGCCUAAUUCUUUUAUUUUAAUUAAUUAAUUUUUUUAAUUAAUAAAUUUUAAAAUGAAUUAAUUUUGCUUUUCAGGGCCACACUUGUGGCAUAUGGAGGUUCUAAGGCUAGGGGUUGAACCAGAGCUGCAGCUGGGCUUAUGCCACAGCCACAGUGACAUCAGAUCCAAGCUGUGGUGUCCAUACCACAGCUUAUGGCCAUGCCAGAUCCUAAACCCACUGAGCGAGGCCAGGGAUCGAACCCGCAUCUAUGGAUAUUAGUUGGUUUCUUAACCCGCUGAGCCACAGCAGGAGCCCCACAUCUUGUUUUCCUUUGUACUCCAGGAGGCGUGCUUGCAGAGGGAGGCUACGGAAGUGAUGGGGAAGCACCAGAAGCUAGCCUUGGCUUUCAGUGAGUUCAAGUGCUGCUGCAUAAGCCCCUGCAUCCUUGGAGUUAAAAGGUUGUGCAGGACCAGGUCGUAUCCAGGAAUAUAUGUCCUUGGUGAUAUUUAAAAUAUGGGUGUGAGCUCCUGCUGUGGAACAGUGGAAACAAACACAACUGGUAUCCAGGAGGAUGUGGGUUUGAUCCCUGGCCUUGUUCACUGGAUGAGGGAUCCAGCAUUGCCGUGAGCUGUGGUGUAGGUCGCAGAUGUGGCUCAGAUUGGCAUUACUGUGGCUGUGGGGUAAGCUGGCAGGAGGUUGGAGCUGCAGCUCCAAUUCGACUCCUAGCCUGGGAAUUUCCAUAUGCCUUGGGUGUGGCCCUAAAAAAGCAAAACAAACAAAUAAAUAAAUGAAUAAAAUAAAAUAAAAUUAUGGGAGGAUCUGGAACCUCUGGUAGCACUGACCAGAUUCUGAGAUCGUCUUUGGAUACAGGGUUCAUGAUGAUGUCACCCAGAUGAAGGAACUACACAAUCAUUACCCACUGCCAGUGGAUGUGGCUACGGCCAUCUAUCACAUAACGGUCUAUAUCCAGGUUGAACUAAAGCAGUGCUUUGAACAUCCCCAGUGAAUGAGGUUCUAGCUCUGUCACUGUGCCCCAGCAACCCUCCCCAGUCCCCACAGCAAACUUUAUGUUUACACUGAACCCAGAAGAGGCCUCAGAAUUCUCAUACACAUGGCUGUCUAGGAAGUCACUCCCAACAGAUGAGCUAUCAUGCAAGAUGAGCCCUAUCUGCCCUCCUACAUUAGGCUUUGAGUAGGCAUUUGGCAUAACACCUACUUCCCAUCCACAAAUGCAGCCAGGCUGGUGACCCAGCUCCAGGAAAGCUCUAGCGUCUCUGUGGAAGAAAAGACAGCUGGGUGGAAGUAGCUAGGUUCUUGUCUCGGGUGUAUGGCUUGAAGGCUGUCUAAAUGUUGGUGUGAGCCAUGUGCAAGAGCACACGUCACCUGGGACAGCUGCUCCUGGUCAACACCAGCAACCCUGGGUCAAGCAGCUGGGCUGAGACCACCGUGCAUCAGAGAAAUUCAUCUGACAGUGUUGCACUACAGACCACAGACCUCAAGUCAGGGAUGGCAGCGGUGGGCAAGCACCAAGGACUAGCCCAGUGCCUGUUCCAACACCUCCAGGGGCUCAGCCAGAACUUGUUCAGCAGGAAGGAGCAGGAGCAAGCCCAUCACAGGGUCUCUCAGCCCUGCAGGGCUGGGCCAGGUCCUUACCAGGGGCCUUAGACCAAGUUCUCAUCAGCUGUUAGUUUAAGUUAUCGGCUCUAUGGGAAUGAAGUCAGAAGCAAAGGAGGAAAAGGCAUUUGGCAAUUCUGGAGCCUGGCACUUAGUGUACACGAUCUUAUGACCCUUCCCAACAUGCCCAGGAGGUGGGCGGCACAAUUUCAUUUUACAGAUCGGAAGAGUAUAAGCCCAGAGGGACUGUGUACCCUGCCUGAGGUCACCAGUAAGAAGGGGCAGAAGUGAGACCCCAUUUGGAUCCACCCAGCAUUCUCCCUUGUUCCUUCUGGCACCUGCUUUACCACACACCUGCCCAGACGGCAAAAGAAGACACCCCUUUCCCAUCACAUAUUCUGCUCCUUGCAAAAUUGACAAAGUCUCUUAAUGUUUCGGAUUUCUGCCCCAGAGCCAGCAUUUGAACAGACGGAUGCAACGCUCUCGUCCACCUAUAUCCAAACUUAUGGUCUGCCGUCCAGAAUAACCCUGACAUUUCCGAGGUCAUCCCUCUUCCUCCCCUCAAUCCAUGGACGUUCCUUCAAAAUGAAAAAGCAAAAUGGCAACAAAUGUCAAGUGCAUCAGUGAUUCUUUCAGACAAAGCACCAAGAGAGCAAAGCUGUUAAAAAUGUCAUUCUCCUCUGCCCUCCCAUUUACUGGGCUGUGUCUUCUAGGCCACGGAAAUUGGCACCAUCCGAGCAGUAUCUCCUCCCGCGACCCGGACCCGGCCCUGUCCUGUGAAUGUGAAGCCAGCUUUAAGUGUAUCUCUGUAAAUGCAAAUGAAAAUCUGGGUCUCUGGAAAUGUGAGACCCAUGAGAGCUUGUUUAGCAUUAGAGAUUGGUCAAAAGAUCUUAUAAAUUCUGUAUUAUAAGGAAAGGGGCAGAGAUAGGGGGAAAAAAGAGCUCAUUAUCUUUAAAGCAAUUUAAACUUAUAGGUGCCUUUAUUUGAUUCCGCUUAAAUUUAACUAGGCACUUUCUAGACAAGCAUUAUUUUACUUGAAGUAAGCAGGGUAGAGAAAGUUACCUGAAAUAAGACAAACUUGCUCUUUAAAAGGGACCUAAACUUCUCUUUAAGUUCGAAAGUAAAUAGUAAGAAAAUGAUGCUUUGUUAGAUAAAUUUCACGUUUCCUCCUUGGCUUCAUGAUUCUAUAAACUAUGCAUGCUAACACAUCAUUAAAAUCAGGCCAUAGAAUAUUGGAAAAGCAGCAUGAGACUGAUACUAUUCUUUAAAAUUUGAAUUUAAAUAUAUGAAUCAAUCAGCUCUUAAUUUGUAAAAACAGAAAAGCCAAACCACUUGUCACAUUUCUUAUGCUUUUGAUAAAUCUUGCCCUGGUUGUCUCCUCAUUGAUUUUGAGGAAAAGUCAUUUGUCAAAGCUCUUUUAGUUCAUGCCUCUCUGUUAGACAUUCAUCAUUUGCUGGACUGAAAACACACAGGCUUUCUGUCCUCACCCUUUACACAUCCCUUUAGUGGUUUUGAUCUUUCUUCUUCUUUGAUAGCUGUGUGAUCAGGUGUGGAUUUCUAAAAACUCCAGUACUGAGUGAGAUUUUUCUAUCUUCUGGGUUACAGUCAAGCCUUGGAGAUUUGAAUUCACGCUCUAUCUCAUUAAAGGACUGGAGGCUCUGGUUAGUUGUAUGUUGAUAAAACCACAAGUCAGGUGUAUUUUUAUUAAAUAAAAUGAUACAGAAAACAGGCUGAAUGUCAUGUUUAAUAAAAUUAAAUUGAAUUUGGUAGCAUGUUGGGUAUAUAAUGAACAAAACCUGUCUUUUCUCUGGGUGACUCUUUUUUUUGUCUUUUUUUCUAAAACAUAUGAUCCAAUUCUUGCUUUAAAAAUGCUGAUUUUUCUCUACUCACAGGCCUGCCUGCCACAAUAGUAUGCCUGAUCAGCCUACACAUCCAUGAGGCCGAUUAUGUGAAUGUCUGCUUAAAAUGUCCUUUUCUCGGGAGUUCUGUUGUGACUCAGAGGAAGCGAACCAGACUAGCAUCCAUAAGGAUGCAGGUUCAAUCCCUGGCCUUGCUCAGUGGGUUAAGGAUCCAGCGUUGCCAUGAGCUGUGGUGUAGGUCGCAGAUGCAGCUUGGAUUUGGCAUUGCUGUGGCUGUGGUGUAGGCCUGCAGCUACAGCUCCGAUCCGACCCCUAGCCUGGGAACCUCUAUAUGCCUUGGGUGUGGCCUUAAAACAAAACAAAAAAAAAAAAAAAAAAAAUCAUGCUUAAAAAAAAAAACACUUCCUUUUCGCUGGUUUUAUUUUACAUCUUCUGGGAUAAUUCUGAUAAGCAAAAGUAAUGAAUGCCAAUGCUACAUCCCUUACUUUGGAAGUUUUCAGCCUUGACACCAUCCUCUUUCUUUUCCUUUUAUUUAUUUAUUUUUUCUUUUGAAAAGUUAUUGUUGAUUUACAAUAUCGUGCCAAUUCCUGCUGUACAGCAAAGUGACCCAGUCGUACACAUAUAUACAUUCUUUUCCUCAUAGCAUCUUCCAUCAUGGUCUAUUGGACAUAGUCCCCUGUGCUGUACAGCAGGACCUCAUUGCUUAUCUAUCCUAAAUGUAACAGUUUGCAUCUACGAACACCAGACUCCCCCUCCAUCCCGCUCCCUCCUCCUUCCCUGCGACCCCAUCAUCUUUCAUCAUUCAUUCUGGGUCCUGCUUUGCCUCUGUCCAUGUUCAGCUCUUCUCCUAAACAGGACUGAGGUUUAGGUCUUGUGGAGGCAGGGAGGUUGCUAAGGAAGCCCCGGUCUCUCCUGUGGAACCUCUUGCUUUGGGGGAGGGAGGAGGGUGGGGGAGGGGGCAUAAAUACAGCGCAAGAAGGCAGCUCUGUGAGGUCCAGGAUUGUUCUGUCACUCUGGCAGCUGGUCAAUGAAUCUACUCUUAGGAAGAAGAAGAUGUACGAAACAGGUAACCAGUGUAGGAAAGAGAGUGGAAAACAUGUAAGCACUGAAGGCUUCCUAACUUUGGAUACCUGCCUUCCUAGUAACUCUAAAAAAAGACCCAGCACGUGGCAAAAUAUUCCUUUUCUGUUUCUAACCGUAUCCAAAUAAGUUCUAGGUCUGGAGAGCCCUCCUUUGAGGGUUUAUGGUUGUGUACAAUGUACGGGGGGGUGGGGUACAGGCAAGAGAGUGGCAAGGAGAGUUCGGGGCAUCAUAAGACCCUGGGCAGAACUCUUUGCAGGGUGAUGGGGUGUAAUUCAUGGGGGUCAAUCAUCCAGGCCUAGUGCUUCCAUCCCCUGGCAGACCAGGUGCCACAACCAUGGGAAGCCAGAUGGAGACAGAUGCCAAGAAGAAACAAUCUCCUUUCACUGGUACGUCUUUCUCAUUCUUGCCUUUGGCCUUGAUUUUCCUUUUAGGUCACCCUCAAGAAGACCACAUCCAUCCUAACACACCAGCCUUUGGUAUUGAUAAAACUAAUACUGAACAAAGGGAGUGUCCUUGUUAAACCCCAGCUGCGAGCACCUGAUAACACUAAGUCAGAGGAAUCAGAGUAGAACCUGGGGAGGCCAAUGACGUGAGGAUCUCAUGAUGAAGCAGAGAGCUCCUCUCCUCCAUUCUUGGCUUAAAAUCAAAAUUUUCUUGUGCUUUGACGCCCCAUUUCAUUGCCAGGGCCAACCCAAAGCUGAAGAAUGUUUCUCAAAUGUAAGCAGUCAAUCUGCAGUUUUCUGGAAGGAAUCUGAAAUUCCUCUGUCCCCAGAAACAGAUCAUCCCUCUCAGACAUGACAACAGCCCGUUUCUAAGGAGGUCAUUUAUUCUGCGGACACACUCACUUUCUAUCCAGGUUUAUGUCCCCUAACCCUGGAGCGCGCCCCCAUUACGCCUUCUAUAAAUAAUGAAAUCCUGUCUUUUAAAAGCUCAAGGCAGAAAUGUAAAUAAAUUGAGUUGCAAAAAUAAUCUUUCAGGCCCACAAUGCCCUGUCAGAUCAGCCAGGACAACGAUCUGCAUGUUUGGGGCACUUAAGCUGCUAUUUCAGUUUUGCGCUGGCAGUUACUGUUACUAUGCUAUUAAUUUGGCAUACAAAUAGCCUUUUAUGGUGGAGUUGCAAAGUGCCUUAAAUCACUUCUUAGUUACAAGUUUUAGGACUUUUCCCAUAAAGUUUGGGACCCCUAAUGAUGGGGAAGAUAGUCCUUAAGCUUGCUCACUCCUCAUACAGCAUU